rnacentral:misc_RNA from 1 species
GAUGAAGAACGUAGCGAAAUGCGAUAAGUAGUGUGAAUUGCAGAAUUCAGUGAAUCAUCGAAUCUUUGAACGCACAUUGCGCCCCCUGGUAUUCCGGGGGGCAUGCCUGUUCGAGCGUCAUUUCACCACUCAAGCCUCGCUUGGUAUUGGGCAACGCGGUCCACCGCGUGCCUCAAAUCGUCCGGCUGGGUCUUCUGUCCCCUAAGCGUUGUGGAAACUAUUCGCUAAAGGGUGUUCGGGAGGCUACGCCGUAAAACAACCCCAUUUCUAAGGUUGACCUCGGAUCAGGUAGGGAUACCCGCUGAACUUAAGCAUAUCAAUAAGCGGAGGA